AUGUCUCUUUUCAUGCAGAGCGAUGCGAGGAAUGGUCUGCAGAAUGAUAUUCCACGACUGCAGUCUAUGCUGGCAAAACUUAAUCUAAUACACAAACAUCCCAAAACAGACAAUGUUAAAUUACAUCCAGGUACAGCCUGUAAAAGUAUGUUUUACCAUUCUCUGGAGCCUGUAGAAGGAAUAAAAAAUGAAGAAAACAGGAAAGAAAGCACAGUCAGAUCUGGUGAUGAGGAGCAACCAACUAGGAGUUCUGAAACAAAAGAUGGAAAUGAAGCUGUUGAAGAGGUCAAAGAGCUUCCAGAAGCAUUUCCUAAAUGGGAGAGGAAGAGUAUACUCCCUGACUGUUUGUCCAUAGAAAUCCAGAUGGGAAAAUUAGGUCGCCAGCCAAGAGAAAGUGAGUCUUUGGAGGACAAAAAGAGCACAGAGAUGGAAGAGCAUGUGGCUGGAGCUGCAUUAUUACCUAACAAUCAAUAUCAAGAAAUGUCUGCACACACAUCUUACCUCUCUGUGUCCUCCGAUAAAGUGGACUCUGCACAGAUGGGGUUGAAGCAUGAACCAGAUGAAGCUUGUGGUCCUUCAAAACAGUAUGUCAGUAUGGAUACAAGCAGGGUUCUAACCCAUCAAACAGCUGUGAAUGUUACAGGCAAGAAAACAAGGUCCACUUCAGAUCCAGUAACCCAGGAAUCCAGUAAAUCCUUUAAUCCAAUAAAGGAAGAGAGACCCCUCUCAGCUCCAAGUAUUUCAAACCUACGGGAAUAUGAAAAGUAUGAAGAUUUUGCAAAUGCAAUGCCAGCCAAAAGCUUCAGCAAAGCUGCUAAGAUUUUGGGACAGGGGUAUUCAGGCAUGAGCAUAGGAAAUGUGGAACAUGACAACUCACUCACCAAAACGCAAAAGAAAGGAGUGAAAAACAAAAUGAAGAAUCUUACUCAAAAACUGAUGGAAAAGCUUAAAGAUAAACAUGAUUGUGAGCACGCUGGCAGGAGGAGCACCCAAGACAGCAUGGAAGAAGAAGAAGGACAAAAACUGAAUUCCAUGGAGGUGGAAGCCGAGGAUCAAGCUAUUCCACCACCACUUCCACCAAAAAUGGGGAAAUAUGUUUUCUUAGAAAGAACAUUUACCCUAAAAGACUUCAAACUCAAUCUUGAACCUAUCAACUUAAUGGAAGAAAUAUUCACAGGCAGCGAAUGGCUCAGUUACUUGCCCAUCAAAGAAAGUCCAGCUGAGAAAGAAACUAGUGAUCAGUCAAUGACAAAUGAUGUUCUCCGACCAGAAAAGGACAUUCAGCUCGAUGUUCCUCCCCCGACAGCAGAGCAGGACCAGUCAGAGGACAUAAAGACACCAGAGGAGGACCAGCCAGAGGAUGUAAAGACACCAGAGGAGGACCAGCCAGAGGACGUUAAGGUCAAUCAAGACAGUGCUAGUGAUCCUCAAGAGGACAAUGUAGCAAAAGUGAAAAGUGACUUGGAUGUAAAACAAGUGGAAUGGGAUGCAAACAUAUUUGCUAUACCUAAGGCACUGCUAACAAAUAAUGCAAGACAAAAAAGGUCUUGUGAGUCAAACAAAUCAGAUGACGUCUAUGACUGUGUGGAUAUGUAUAUUAUUCCAAAAAAUGACUUUCCAUUAAUGAAAAGAAAGGCAUCAGAUGCUCUGUUGGACUUUUCAGCAGUCAAGGUGGGGAACACUUUUGUACAUUUUUUUUUACAGUGAAAAUAACUGGAAUUUUAUGUUAAUAUUUGAGAGACAAUUUAUUUUUUUAUUUUAUUUGAACUUAAUAAGUUGAAUAAAUGGCAAAAAAAUCUCUCUCUCAGUCAUUUGAACUGCUGGACAACUCUGCCCUCAAGAGUCGAAUUCGUCUUAGCAAAAAGAGACACCACCGAUCACCUAAAAAGCACAAAAAAGGUGAGAAGAAGCUGAGGAGGGUUGGUAUGAAUUUACUGAAUGAAAGCAAUAAGCAUGACAUUUAUUUCACACUUUUUCUCUUCCAGUAAAAACAGAGAUGUUGAGCGGCAUAUUCUACAAGAUUCCCAUGGUAAUACUGAAUGAAUCUCCUGUCAGCACAUCUCCACCAUGUCACAGCAUUCCCUUUUCCAUGUCUCCUCCUUUGCAUUUACCAUCACGUCCAUACCACUCCUGACCAUACCAGAUCUAUCAUCUGCAUUUGUCAGGUCAGUAAAGUCACAGAAGCAGUCAAACGCAAAGUAAAGCACAAACCAAGAAAGACAAUAUUGCAUAAAAUCUAUUUCGUUGUUCAUGUGAUCAUUUUAUUAAUAGUCUUCCUAGUUUUAUACUUCCUAGGCAGAUUAAAAGAUACCUUUACUGUAAAGACUGAAAAUUUACUGGUGUGCAAAAGAUGGGAGACAUUACAGUGGAUAAUCCAUUUGCAAGAAAGAACCUUUUUCACAUAAUUAUUUUCUUAAUAAUUUGCAAAAAGUCAUUAAUGUAAUGAUUUGCUACGUCAAUAUACAUGUUUUUAAGUUAAUAAUACACCUGUUCAUUCACCACUGCUGAUGAACUGUAAAGUACAGUAAAUCAUCAGUCUUUCUCCACAGUCCUUAUUAUGCAAUUAUGCAAAAUACCAUGUAAUAUUAUCAUGUAAUGUCAUGUGUAUGUCUUUUGCUGUCUUUAGAUUCCACUAAUGAAUUGUAAUGAGUUGUAAAUCACCUGCAAGAAAGAACCUUUUUCACAUAAUUAUUUUCUUAAUAAUUUGCAAAAAGUCAUUAAUGUAAUGAUUUGCUACGUCAAUAUACAUGUUUUUAAGUUAAUAAUACACCUGUUCAUUCACCACUGCUGAUGAACUGUAAAGUACAGUAAAUCAUCAGUCUUUCUCCACAGUCCUUAUUAUGCAAUUAUGCAAAAUACCAUGUAAUAUUAUCAUGUAAUGUCAUGUGUAUGUCUUUUGCUGUCUUUAGAUUCCACUAAUGAAUUGUAAUGAGUUGUAAAUCACCAUUCAUUUAAUUUCUGACUUCAAAGUGUUAUCUGAAUUUUUUUAGUGUGUGGUAUUACAAAUUUAUGAAAUGUUAAAUCUAGUUUCCAAUAUAAUAGUAUAUAAACUGAAAAAGUUAUGUACAUUGUGUUUUACAUUUUGAGGUAAAAAGGCUGACAUAUCCAAGAAGAUCAAAUCAGGAAAAUCAGGUGUUUGAGAUAAUGACCUUUUGUCUUUAUGCUCUUCCUGACCAUCUGGCUUUUUAAGCUCAAGGCACAGCUGUGCCUUUGUCUCUAUGAUAAUGUGAAGGUAUGAGCGAUACUGUCAGGCACCUCUGUAUUUGAAUGACACUGUUAUGCUGAUGAGAUCAAAGCUGGGAAAAUGCCAGUGUGGGGCUGAUCCCUGUACUGCAUUUGCAUGCUUUGUUUAGAUUGUCUCCACCUCUAUGUAUCCUUCCCCUAGAAAUGUAUAUAAACUACAAAUGUAUCAAUGACUAGUUAGACUUUAGAUGACUGCAGCGCCACACAGUGCAUUCUCAAUAAAGAGUCCUGCUGAAGAUUACCCAAGAGUCUCCUGGUCUUCCCUACUGAGUUUCCAACAGUUUUGUUGCCGUGACCCGGAUAGAGCGUUUAUUAUCUCACAUCAUUCCAGACUGAAUUCCAGAUCCUUUUUCAGCUCAACAACGAUUUGGUGAGUGUUACUCUAUCCAAAGAACUACUACAGACCAGUUAAUGUGGUUAUCCUCUGGGCUGUCAGAGAAGUGUAAACAAACAGCUGCAGGGUUUGGUUAACAGACUAGUUAUCCUCUGCUUUGCCAGGGCAGAAGGUUAAUCCUCUGUUUAGUCAGAGAAGACAACUAUUACAGUGUGUUGGCAAGUUGGUUAUCCUCUGCGUUGCCAGGGAAGGUUGAACACAUUAUGAUGUGUAUUAACUAGCGUAUCCUCUGCUUUGUCAGAGAGGUUAUUGAUGUGUCCUCUGCUUUGCCAGAGAAAGUUAACAGGUUUUAUAUGUUAACAAGUGUAUCCUCUGCUUGCAAGGGAAGUGUUAGAAGUGUCAUGUUGUGUCAGAAAGACUUUAUAAAAUGUUGAGAAGGAAUGCUAAGCUGAUUCCAACAACUAAAAAAAGGUGGACUAGCUA
rnacentral:lncRNA from 1 species